rnacentral:rRNA from 1 species
AUUGAACGCUGGCGGCAGGCCUAACACAUGCAAGUCGAACGAGUGGCGGACGGGUGAGUAAUGUCUGGGAAACUUCCUGAUGGAGGGGGAUCACUACUGGAAACGGAAGCCAAUACCGCAUACCAUCGGAUGUGCCCAGAUGGGAUUAGUUGGUAGGCGGGGUAAAGGCUAACCUAGGCGACGAUCCCUAGCGGGUCUGAGAGGAUGACCAGCCACACUGGAACUGAGACACGGUCCAGACUCCUAGGGGAGGCAGCAUUGGGGAACAUUGCACAAGGGGCGCAAGCCUUAUGCAGCCAGGCCGCGUGUAUGAAGAAGGCCUUCGGUUUGUAAAGUACUUUAAGCGGGGAGGCGUUACCCGCAGAAGAAGCACCGGCUAACUCCGUGCCAGCAGCCGCGGUAAUUC